rnacentral:rRNA from 1 species
AUUGAACGCUAGCGGGAUGCUUUACACAUGCAAGUCGAACGGCAGCGCGGACUUCGGUCUGGCGGCGAGUGGCGAACGGGUGAGUAAUGUAUCGGAACGUGCCCAGUAGCGGGGGAUAACUACGCGAAAGCGUAGCUAAUAUCGCAUACGCCCUACGGGGGAAAGCAGGGGAUCGUAAGACCUUGCACUAUUGGAGCGGCCGAUAUCGGAUUAGCUAGUUGGUGAGGUAACGGCUCACCAAGGCGACGAUCCGUAGCUGGUUUGAGAGGACGACCAGCCACACUGGGACUGAGACACGGCCCAGACUCCUACGGGAGGCAGCAGUGGGGAAUUUUGGACAAUGGGGGCAACCCUGAUCCAGCCAUCCCGCGUGUGCGAUGAAGGCCUUCGGGUUGUAAAGCACUUUUGGCAGGAAAGAAACGUCGCGGGCUAAUACCCCGUGGAACUGACGGUACCUGCAGAAUAAGCACCGGCUAACUACGUG